rnacentral:rRNA from 1 species
GUAGGUGGCAAGCGUUGUCCGGAAUUAUUGGGCGUAAAGCGCGCGCAGGCGGUUCUUUAAGUCUGAUGUGAAAGCCCACGGCUCAACCGUGGAGGGUCAUUGGAAACUGGAGAACUUGAGUACAGAAGAGGAAAGCGGAAUUCCACGUGUAGCGGUGAAAUGCGUAGAGAUGUGGAGGAACACCAGUGGCGAAGGCGGCUUUCUGGUCUGUAACUGACGCUGAGGCGCGAAAGCGUGGGGGAGCAAACAGGAUUAGAUACCCUGGUAGUCCACGCCGGAAACGAUGAGUGCUAAGUGUUAGGGGGUUUCCGCCCCUUAGUGCUGCAGCUAACGCAUUAAGCACUCCGCCUGGGAGUACGGCCGCAAGGCUG